rnacentral:tRNA from 1 species
GCCUUCGUGGUGUAGUGGUCAGCACGCUCCACGGAAAAACGGAGAGAUCCGUGGUUCGAUUCCCGGCGACAGCA